AUUGAACGCUGGCGGCAUGCCUUACACAUGCAAGUCGAACGGUAACAGGGAGCUUGCUCCGCUGACGAGUGGCGAACGGGUGAGUAAUGUAUCGGAACGUACCAUUCAGUGGGGGAUAACGUAGCGAAAGUUACGCUAAUACCGCAUAUUCUGUGAGCAGGAAAGCAGGGGAUCGCAAGACCUUGCGCUGAUUGAGCGGCCGAUAUCAGAUUAGCUAGUUGGUGAGGUAAAAGCUCACCAAGGCGACGAUCUGUAGCGGGUCUGAGAGGAUGAUCCGCCACACUGGAACUGAGACACGGUCCAGACUCCUACGGGAGGCAGCAGUGGGGAAUUUUGGACAAUGGGGGCAACCCUGAUCCAGCCAUGCCGCGUGAGUGAAGAAGGCCUUCGGGUUGUAAAGCUCUUUCAGCCGGGAAGAAAAUGCAUGGGUUAAUACCCUGUGCAGAUGACGGUACCGGAAUAAGAAGCACCGGCUAACUACGUG
rnacentral:rRNA from 1 species